rnacentral:lncRNA from 1 species
GUCACCUAGAAUCUGGCUGUUAACUGUCACCAUUGCUGAGAGUCUCAACAUAGGGCAAAGUGCUCAGGGAAGCUGAAGGCUGAACUUUCAGCCUUUCCACUGACCCCGAAAGCACUUUGGGCUUCUCUGAGGACAAGCCUGCAUCUCAAGGAACUGCAUUAUAUUAUUCUGCGGAGGGAAGUUGGAGACAUCAGAGAUGGGUAGAUAUUCCCUUGCUUAUGCAGGAAGGUUUUUACUUCUAGAACUUUGUCUUUUGUAGAUUUGAUGAAACCCUAAAAAUGCUGCUUGUUAAGUAAGAAACUGCUGCUUUGACUCUUGUAGGGAAAGCACCAGGCAGGCAAAGCCCUCCAGGGAGUAAUGCCACCAAAGGAGAGGAAAAGCUACGUUUCCAAAGGCAAAAAGUAGGCCUGUGACUGGGACAACAGCCUGAAUGCUGAUCUGCAGUACACCUGUGCCAUUUCAAGAGUCUGGAACCAAGUAUCAGUUAUCAGCUUUCCAGUAUCUUUUUAUAAUUUCUCAGACUUCCUAAAGAAAAUAUUACUUGGCUGCCAUUACAUUUAUUUCAUGACUCUGCAGUUUGACAAGCACAGUGACAAAAGGCAACACACAUGAUAAAUUCUCUUAUAAUAACCUGUAAAGUCUUGUUAGUAUUAUUUUUGUAAUGAUAUCUUAUUUAACCACCUGAGAUUUUAAAA